CUGCAUUACUGUAAGUUAAUGCAAGCAAGGAUCAGCAGGCUUCACGACCAAGGAGACAUUUUGAGAUGUUUCUUUGCAGCAGGUGAGGAACGGCAGACCUAACAACCAAGGGGACAUUAAGAUGUUUCUUUGCAGGGCGACCAGGUAACGAAGCUCAGGGUCCAUGGCUACGCUGUUGAUGGAGGGCCCCUCCACGUGGCCGAGGCCGUUCCUCGUCGGGUUGGGCCACGCCAACACCUGCCGAAACACAGGGGACAUCGUGAGCAAAGCUAAGUUCACCACUGGAGGAGUUUCAGUAUGAUAACAGUAUCUUGAAGAGUGUAAUGGAAACAUAAGCAGUAGCCUGCUAAAUAUCUGAACCGUAAAGCAACGAGACAGUUUGAAGCGAAGGAUACCUCAGUGGGCGGAAUGGGUUUCCCACUCUGAAAACUGUUCUUCUGGAGGUUGGUGACGUGAGGACAUUCUUUAAAAAAAUGAAGACAAGGGGACACUUAAAUGACGUGAACCCACCUGGACAGGUGUUGAGAGCCAGGUAGGGGAUGUCGGUGCUGGCCCACUGCAGCUCAGCCAGAACCACGGCGCUCACCGUCAGGUUCUUC